CCGCCGCCAGCGGCUUCACCGUCGGCUCCAGCCCACCCGACGACAGGUUCGCCACCGCCGCCAUUGAUGCUUUUGCUGUUAAUUAGAAGGAAUUGGAUGCUAUCUAACUGCUAAUAAGUGAUGGGCACGCUAGGCAGCGCCAUUGAUCCCUCCCUUCUUUCUUGGCGUUCCUCUGUUCGUGGGCAAUGGUGGUGACUCCGCACGGCAUGUGAACCCACAAUUCAGUGUGGCAGGGAGACAGUGAAGGGCAAUGCAGGCAAGGGACAUGAGAGGCUAUUUUUAGUUGUGGAUGAGAGGGAUAAUAGACAGAGGGAGACAUAGCAGCAAUCCAAGUCCAAUAAUAGAGUUUGAAGGCAACCGUGAAUUGGUCUGAAUUUUCUGACACUUGAGGUCUGAACAAAAAGGGAUGACGCACAUUCAUGCUGUGAUGCUGGUUGCUGCUGCUUCAAAGUAAGUAGCUCAUCUUGAUACCCUGAUACCUCGCCUUGCAUCUGCCUAACUGGCGCGUAAUCGCUCCGGCAUCUUGUCCAGGGUCUCGACAGGACCAUUCCCGGCAACAGAAGAAAUGUUUUGUGCAUCUAGUGUCGCCUGCUGAAAAGACCAGGGUUGGAUAGGAAUACAGGCAUGUUCCAUCUUUGUUACAAACGAACAUCCCGUUACUUUUGCCAUCACAAUGAUUUCAGCCUUGUAAGUACAACUCUGUUUCAAAUUUAAAUUUAGAAGGUCGAUCAUGUUCAUAUACGCUGCAUCUCAGGAACAGAUUCAAGUUACAGCCAUUACAAACUGGAAACUGCCAAUCAUGCCUGCACUGGUAACACAUGAUGAUUUCACAACCGAGCUGAAUGAGUUAGAUGCAUUAUGUCAAUCCAAUCCUAAAACAAUUUCUGCCUUGCUGGCCAUUAAGAACUUGCUUGCAGCCAUGCACGACGGAGUUCGCGCGUAUCCACCAUGAAAACGACCUGUCCCGAUUCAUUCAAUCACCAUCAAUCCCUGUCGUCUUCGUCUUCAUCCAGCGAAUUCGACCGCCUCCGCCAGCUCAGCACGCGCCCGAUCCGCGGCAGCCUCAUCACCGAGUUGGCCCGCGCCACCCCCUCCAGGGCUCUCCACACCGUCGUCCCUUCCUCCGACGCCUCGCCGCCGCUUCUGCUGCUCACAACCCUGCGGAAGCUCCCCGUGAACGACACGCCCGCCUGUUCACGAGGCGGCUUCACGUCUCCUGAGCCUGUGAAGCUCUCCUCGUCAGGAGAUGCCGGCCGGUUCAAGAAGAGGCACACGACGGCGCAGUCGUCCACCAUGGACGUCGGGUACUUGCACCGCCACGCUCGGACCGCACGGUCGAUCAGCUGUCUCGCCGCCUUGGAUGGGUCGGUGACCGAUGAGACGAUCUUCACCACCUCCUUGUUCGACAGCACGUCCCAAAUCUGCAACAACAGAUUUUGCCAAGGAAAAUUUUAACUUUUGGUUCUCAUGCAUGCUAGCAUAGGAAAGCCAUAUUGUCUAAACUUUUUUUUUUCUGUUGUCCAAUCAAAUCGGAAAAUCACUAUCAGCUAAAACUAUCAUGGAAUAUUAAUAAAUAGGUGACAGAGAUAUGUCACUUUCAGUUAACAGUUUCUGUUGUCAAUCUAAUCAUAAAAGGGAUUUAUGCUGUUUUAGUACUCAGAUCAUUUGGAAUAGAACUGCAAACCUGUCUCCUUAAAAUUGAAAGUGAUAGAAAUCUGAAACUCCCAAUCAAUCAAACGAGUUUCCGUUUUUAUUACCCCAUCAGUUGCAAGCACCAAGAACUCGUCCUUUUCAGAUAACUUCCUGUAGUAGACUUCAGGUGUGCAGAUAAGGCCAUGGCUCUUCAGGCAGAAGUCCCCGAAGGCCCUUGCCAUGGCGAGACCUGG
rnacentral:lncRNA from 1 species